rfam:Myotis lucifugus cont2.32819, whole genome shotgun sequence.
CAUGCACUGGUGGGGUCCCUCAGCCUGGCCUGCGGAUAUCCCCUGAGGAGUCCUGGAUUUCGAGAGGGUAUAGGCCAGGCUGAGGGGCCCCACCAGUGCAUG